rnacentral:rRNA from 1 species
CGCCGCGUGAGUGAUGAAGGCCUUCGGGUCGUAAAGCUCUUUGAUCAGGGAUGAUAAUGACAGUACCUGAAAAACAAGCCACGGCUAACUACGUGCCAGCAGCCGCGGUAAUACGUAGGUGGCGAGCGUUGUCCGGAAUUACUGGGCGUAAAGGAUGCGUAGGUGGAUAUUUAAGUGGGAUGUGAAAUCCCCGGGCUCAACCCGGGAACUGCAUUCCAAACUGGGUAUCUAGAGUGCAGGAGAGGAAAGCGGAAUUCCUAGUGUAGCGGUGAAAUGCGUAGAUAUUAGGAGGAACACCAGUGGCGAAGGCGGCUUUCUGGACUGUAACUGACACUGAGGCAUGAAAGCGUGGGUAGCAAACAGGAUUAGAUACCCUGGUAGUCCACGCCGUAAACGAUGGGUACUAGGUGUAGGAGGUAUCGACCCCUUCUGUGCCGCCGUUAACACAAUAAGUACCCCGCCUGGGGAGUACGGUCGCAAGACUAAAACUCAAAGGAAUUGACGGGGGCCCGCACAAGCAGCGGAGCAUGUGGUUUAAUUCGAAGCAACGCGAAGAACCUUACCUAGACUUGACAUCUCCUGAAUUACCCUUAACCGGGGAAGCCCUUCGGGGCAGGAAGACAGGUGGUGCAUGGUUGUCGUCAGCUCGUGUCGUGAGAUGUUGGGUUAAGUCCCGCAACGAGCGCAACCCUUAUUUUUAGUUGCUACCAUUUGGUUGAGCACUCUAAAGAGACUGCCCGGGUUAACCGGGAGGAAGGUGGGGGAUGACGUCAAAUCAUCAUGCCCCUUAUGUCUAGGGCUACACACGUGCUACAAUGGUGAGAACAAAGAGACGCAAGACCGCGAGGUGGAGCCAAUCUCACAAAACUCAUCCCAGUUCGGAUUGCAGGCUGAAACUCGCCUGCAUGAAGCCGGAGUUGCUAGUAAUCGCGAAUCAG